GAUGAACGCUGGCGGCGUGCCUAAUACAUGCAAGUCGAGCGAACGGACGAGAAGCUUGCUUCUCUGAUGUUAGCGGCGGACGGGUGAGUAACACGUGGAUAACCUACCUAUAAGACUGGGAUAACUGCGGGAAACCGGAGCUAAUACCGGAUAAUAUUUUGAACAGCAUGGUUCAAAAGUGAAAGACGGUCUUGCUGUCACUUAUAGAUGGAUCCGCGCUGCAUUAGCUAGUUGGUAAGGUAACGGCUUACCAAGGCAACGAUGCAUAGCCGACCUGAGAGGGUGAUCGGCCACACUGGAACUGAGACACGGUCCAGACUCCUACGGGAGGCAGCAGUAGGGAAUCUUCCGCAAUGGGCGAAAGCCUGACGGAGCAACGCCGCGUGAGUGAUGAAGGUCUUCGGAUCGUAAAACUCUGUUAUUAGGGAAGAACAUAUGUGUAAGUAACUGUGCACAUCUUGACGUUACCUAAUCAGAAAGCCACGGCUAACUACGUG
rnacentral:rRNA from 1 species